UCCAGAAUGGUGUAAUGGUAACAUUUAUCGCUCUCACUUUCUAUAAGAUGAUAGCUCCGAUAAGCUCGGGGUUCAAUUCCGUAAGUUCUCAAU